rnacentral:rRNA from 1 species
GGAGGAUGCGAGCGUUAUCCGGAUUCAUUGGGUUUAAAGGGUGCGUAGGCGGACUGAUAAGUCAGUGGUGAAAACCUGCAGCUUAACUGUAGAACUGCCAUUGAUACUGUCGGACUUGAGUAUGGUCAAGGUAGGCGGAAUGUGUAAUGUAGCGGUGAAAUGCUUAGAUAUUACACAGAACACCGAUUGCGAAGGCAGCUUGCUGGGCCAUUACUGACGCUGAUGCACGAAAGCGUGGGGAGCAAACAGGAUUAGAUACCCUGGUAGUCCACGCCGUAAACGAUGAUCACUCGCUGUUGGCGAUAUACAGUCAGCGGCUAAGCAAAAGCAUUAAGUGAUCCACCUGGGGAGUACGGCCGCAAGGCUG